rnacentral:rRNA from 1 species
ACCUAUACAACUUUCAGCAACGGAUCUCUUGGCUCUCGCAUCGAUGAAGAACGCAGCGAAAUGCGAUAAGUAAUGUGAAUUGCAGAAUUCAGUGAAUCAUCGAAUCUUUGAACGCACCUUGCGCUCCUUGGUAUUCCGAGGAGCAUGCCUGUUUGAGUGUCAUUAAUUUCUCAACCUCACCAACUUU